ACAGCGCAAAAGCCGCGAGGCUUGCACCGCACAGGACGCCUCGCGCGUCCACAUGAGCGAGCGGGCUAAGGUCUGAGUACUCUAAUCCCCCUCGAUUGACCCUAGCUGGGUCCGGCCUUCGCCAGCUGGCGCGACGUAUCAGCAACUUAGCCGUAUCCUGUGGUCCUGGAGAAGCUCCGUGCAACACUGACAGAGCAGGCUCACAGUAGCAUGUACUCUACAGAGUCACCAUGUCGCUGGCGAGUGUGGGCCUAACAGUAAUGCAAUCGCACGAGGGGAGGGACAAGAUAUGGCUUUGGGACACGUCGCGGGGAUAGGGCAGGUUCACCUUGCAUGCAUGCGCGCCGCCGUGCGCCGGCCUUCGUCGUUGUCGCAGUGCCCGCCUUUGCCGGGGCAGGGUGCUCACUGUGGGCGCGUGUAUCCCAUUGAGGGGUGUAUGCCCUGUAAAGUGGCAACGACAACGAGAGGGGGCUGUAUAUUCGUAUAGAGUGCGUGCGGUUGCCUGUCCAUCAGUUCACUUCGCGGCUCGCUGGGCACAGCUCCCGCGAAACUCGAUUCAGACUACUCUUGCGCUGU
rnacentral:RNase_P_RNA from 2 species